GACGAACGCUGGCGGCGUGCCUAAUACAUGCAAGUCGAACGCAGUGGGGACGGGUGAGUAACACGUGGGUAACCUCCCAUAAGAGGGGAUAACACUUGGAAACAGGUGCUAAACCGAUACUGAUGGAUGGACCGGCGGUGCAUUAGCUAGUUGGUGAGGUAACGGCGCACCAAGGCCACGAUGCAUAGCUGACCUGAGAGGAUGAUCAGCCACACUGGGAUUGAGACACGGCCCAGACUCCUACGUGAGGCAGCAGUGGGGAAUAUUGCACAAUGGGCGCAAGCCUGAUGCAGCCAGGCCGCGUGUAUGAAGAAGGCCUUCGGGUUGGAAAGUACUGUCAGUCGGGAGGCGUUACCGACAGAAGAAGCACCGGCUAACUCCGUGCCAGCAGCCGCGGUAAUAC
rnacentral:rRNA from 1 species